GAUGAACGCUGGCGGCGUGCCUAAUACAUGCAAGUCGAGCGAACAGACGAGGAGCUUGCUCCUCUGACGUUAGCGGCGGACGGGUGAGUAACACGUGGAUAACCUACCUAUAAGACUGGGAUAACUUCGGGAAACCGGAGCUAAUACCGGAUAAUAUAUUGAACCGCAUGGUUCAAUAGUGAAAGACGGUUUUGCUGUCACUUAUAGAUGGAUCCGCGCCGCAUUAGCUAGUUGGUAAGGUAACGGCUUACCAAGGCAACGAUGCGUAGCCGACCUGAGAGGGUGAUCGGCCACACUGGAACUGAGACACGGUCCAGAAUCCUACGGGAGGCAGCAGUAGGGAAUCUUCCGCAAUGGGCGAAAGCCUGACGGAGCAACGCCGCGUGAGUGAUGAAGGUCUUCUGAUCGUAAAACUCUGUUAUUAGGGAAGAACAAAUGUGUAAGUAACUAUGCACGUCUUGACGGUACCUAAUCAGAAAGCCACGGCUAACUACGUG
rnacentral:rRNA from 1 species